rnacentral:rRNA from 1 species
ACUCCUACGGGAGGCAGCAGUGGGGAAUUUUGGACAAUGGGGGCAACCCUGAUCCAGCCAUCCCGCGUGUGCGAUGAAGGCCUUCGGGUUGUAAAGCACUUUUGGCAGGGAAGAAACAGCCUGGGCUAAUAUCCCGGGCGACUGACGGUACCUGCAGAAUAAGCACCGGCUAACUACGUGCCAGCAGCCGCGGUAAUACGUAGGGUGCAAGCGUUAAUCGGAAUUACUGGGCGUAAAGCGUACGCAGGCGGUUUGUUAAGCGAGAUGUGAAAGCCCCGGGCUCAACCUGGGAACUGCAUUUCGAACUGGGCAAACUAGAGUGUGAUAGAGGGUGGUAGAAUUUCAGGUGUAGCGGUGAAAUGCGUAGAGAUCUGAAGGAAUACCGAUGGCGAAGGCAGCCACCUGGGUCAACACUGACGCUCAUGUACGAAAGCGUGGGGAGCAAACGGGAUUAGAUACCCUGGUAGGCGUAGU